rnacentral:tRNA from 1 species
GGUAUUGUGGCCUAGUGGAAAGAGCCCAAGCCUGGGAUUCUGGAGACCUGGGUUCCAGUCCCAGCUCUGUCA